rnacentral:rRNA from 1 species
GACGAACGCUGGCGGCGUGCUUAACACAUGCAAGUCGAACGGAAAGGCCCUGCUUUUGUGGGGUGCUCGAGUGGCGAACGGGUGAGUAACACGUGAGUAACCUGCCCUUGACUUUGGGAUAACUUCAGGAAACUGGGGCUAAUACCUGAUAGGAGCUCCUGCUGCAUGGUGGGGGUUGGAAAGUUUCGGCGGUUGGGGAUGGACUCGCGGCUUAUCAGCUUGUUGGUGGGGUAGUGGCUUACCAAGGCUUUGACGGGUAGCCGGCCUGAGAGGGUGACCGGCCACAUUGGGACUGAGAUACGGACCAGACUCCUACGGGAGGCAGCAGUGGGGAAUAUUGCACAAUGGGCGGAAGCCUGAUGCAGCAACGCCGCGUGCGGGAUGACGGCCUUCGGGUUGUAAACCGCUUUCGCCUGUGACGAAGCGUGAGUGACGGUAAUGGGUAAAGAAGCACCGGCUAACUACGUG